rnacentral:tRNA from 1 species
UCCUCUGUAGUUCAGUCGGUAGAACGGCGGACUGUUAAUCCGUAUGUCCACUGGUUCGAGUCCAGUCAGAGGAGCCA